rnacentral:tRNA from 1 species
UGGCUCAGUUGGUAGAGCAUGGUGUUUGCAAAGCCAGGGUUGUGGGUUCUAUUCCCAC